GUACUUCCUUUGUGUUGUAGUUAUCGUAUCCAGAAAAGAUGAGUGUGGUUGGUUUUGACUUUGGGAAUGAGAGUGGCGUUGUUGCGGUUGCUAGGCAGCGAGGAAUUGAUGUUGUACUUAAUGACGAAUCAAAAAGGGAAACUCCAGCUAUCGUUUGCUUUGGAGAGAAGCAACGAUUUCUUGGUACUGCUGGUGCAGCGUCAAGCAUGAUGAACCCAAAGAACACCAUUUCGCAGAUAAAGAGGCUAAUAGGGCGACAAUUUUCAGAUCCUGAGCUGCAAAGAGAUCUUAAGGCACUGCCCUUCUUAGUAACUGAAGGGCCCGAUGGAUAUCCCUUGAUCCAUGCACGCUAUUUGGGGGAAAUGAGAACUUUUACCCCUACCCAGGUUGUUGGAAUGGUGUUUUCGGAUCUGAAGACUAUAGCAGAGAAGAAUCUCAAUGCAGCAGUAGUUGAUUGUUGCAUUGGAAUCCCAGCUUAUUUCACUGAUCUUCAGAGGAGAGCUGUAAUGGACGCAGCCACCAUUGCUGGCUUGCAUCCUUUGCAUCUAAUUCACGAGACAACAGCUACUGCAUUAGCGUAUGGUAUUUACAAGACGGAUUUACCUGAAAA
rnacentral:misc_RNA from 1 species